AGGGUUACUAUUAACAAGGAUAUAUAAAUUGGCUUAAAGGCUUCAUAGUGCUUCAGGGUUGGAAGUCAUGGUGAAGGGUGCACGGGUGUGGGGAAGGGGUUUUAUUUUAUGUGGGAUAGGGGUUUUGGGUGCGUGCAGGGUUUGUUGUGUGUAAUACGUUGUAUGUUUUUGUUUUGUUUGAAUAUUAGGGUAAACUCUUAGAUUUAAUUUCUAAAAAAAAAGUAAAAAUGAAUAGAAACCUGGAUUGAGAGUGGUGGAUGACAUGUGGAAAGAGCAGUUCUAUAUGUUUUGAGUAACAGAUAAUAAUAUGUACUGUGUUAGAAUUGGCAGGCUGGUUGACUAAUGUAGAUAUGCAUGUACAUUUCAAAAUGAUUGUUAUCUGACUAUAUUUGCGAUAAUUUGCUGUUUUGUUAUGUAACGUUUCAUUAAUAAACUGUUUACCCACAAAAAAAAAAAAAAAAACAAGGAAGGGGAGAGAAGCCUUGAACUCUUUUAAGGAAAGAUGUAGGUGUAAAUAAAUCAAUAUUCUAGGUACGAGAGGAAAAAUUAGCAGAAGACAAAGUUAAGAAGAAAGUGGCUGCUAAGAAGCUGGAGGAAAUUGAAGCCCGGCGCAAACAAGAUGAAGAAGCCCGCAAACAGAAAGCUCUGCAGCUGAAAGAACAAUUGAAGCAAGAAGAGGAACAAAAGGCAGCAGAGGCCAAGACGGCUAGCAAACAACUGAAUGUGACGGUAGAUAUUCAGGAAAUCAACUGA
rnacentral:lncRNA from 1 species